CAAUAGCGUAUAUUAAAGUUGUUGCAGUUAAAAAGCUCGUAGUUGGAUUUUGAGUUUGGUAAAAUCGGUCUGCUUUCCGCAGUACUGACUUGCCUGCUCUUCUUCUCGAGGCCUAUGAGUGUACUUAACCGUGCGUUCAUAGUGUUCGGGACUUUUACCGUGAGAAAAUUAGAGUGUUCAUAGCAGGCUUUUGCUUGAAUAUUGCAGCAUGGAAUAAUGGAAUAGGAUCAUGAUCUUAUUUUGUUGGUUUCUAAGAUCAAGAUAAUGAUUAAUAGGGAUAGUUGGGGGCAUUAAUAUUUAGUUGUCAGAGGUGAAAUUCUUAGAUUUACAAAAGAUUAACUUCUGCGAAAGCAUUUGCCAAGGAUGUUUNCGUUAA
rnacentral:rRNA from 1 species